UCGGGAAUUUUGGGCAAUGGGGGAAACCCUGACCCAGCAACGCCGCGUGAAGGAUGAAGUAUUUCGGUAUGUAAACUUCGAAAGAAUAGGAAGAAUAAAUGACGGUACUAUUUAUAAGCUCCGGCUAACUACGUGCCAGCAGCCGCGGUAAUACGUAGGGAGCAAGCGUUGUUCGGAUUUACUGGGCGUAAAGGGCGCGUAGGCGGCGCUGUAAGUCACUUGUGAAAUCUCUGAGCUUAACUCAGAACGGCCAAGUGAUACUGCAGUGCUAGAGUGCAGAAGGGGCAAUCGGAAUUCUUGGUGUAGCGGUGAAAUGCGUAGAUAUCAAGAGGAACACCUGAGGUGAAGACGGGUUGCUGGGCUGACACUGACGCUGAGGCGCGAAAGCCAGGGGAGCAAACGGGAUUAGAUACCCCUGUAGUCCCUGAGCGGGCUGGCAAGGCGCAU
rnacentral:rRNA from 1 species